CCUUGACGAACAACUUAGUUCGACAAUAGCCGAGACAAGGAGAUUAAUAUG
rnacentral:ncRNA from 1 species